rnacentral:rRNA from 1 species
GACGAACGCUGGCGGCGUGCCUAAUACAUGCAGGUUGAGCGCUGAAGGUUGGUACUUGUCCCGACUGGCUGAGCAGCGAACGGGUGAGUAACGCGUGGGGAAUCUGCCUUUGAGCGGGGGACAACAUUUGGAAACGAAUGCUAAUACCGCAUAAAAACUUUAAACACAAGUUUUAAGUUUGAAAGAUGCAAUUGCAUCACUCAAAGAUGAUCCCGCGUUGUAUUAGCUAGUUGGUGAGGUAAAGGCUCACCAAGGCGAUGAUACAUAGCCGACCUGAGAGGGUGAUCGGCCACAUUGGGACUGAGACACGGCCCAAACUCCUACGGGAGGCAGCAGUAGGGAAUCUUCGGCAAUGGACGAAAGUCUGACCGAGCAACGCCGCGUGAGUGAAGAAGGUUUUCGGAUCGUAAAACUCUGUUGGUAGAGAAGAACGUUGGUGAGAGUGGAAAGCUCAUCAAGUGACGGUAACUACCCAGAAAGGGACGGCUAACUACGUG